GAGAGUCAGGUGUCAGGACAGCUCAGUGAACUACUGGUGCAUCUUGGGGCUAAAGCUACUACAGCUAACGUCCUAAGGCAAGAGAGAAAUGUCAGAGGGAGAGUGUCAGAUUGAAGAAAUUGAACUAGUGGGCAGGCAGUUAACCCACUGUUCCCCAGGAGCCAAGUACGUGGAUGUCAAUCAAGGCAGCCCCCGGCACCUCUCCAAUCAGAAAUGUGACUGAAACAGCGAGCGCAGCAGCGUACAUAACUGAAAUGCAAUCCAGAACACACCAAUCAAUCGAUAAUCAAUCAACAAAGAGGUAUACUUACGAGGCACACAAAAGGAGACCUGUUUGAUCACCAUGCACUGCAAAAUCAUUCCGACUAUGGAUACGGAGAACGUCAACACAUUAACAUCAACACGCCAGAGGAAAGGGGGAUACCUAGUCAGUUGUACAACUCAAUGCCUUCAGGAUAUACCCAUUGGACUUGGGGCUCUGCUGGGAGUUUACCUCAUAUUUGCAUGUUUUUAUUCUGCUUUGCAACAAAAAUCAUAAUAAAACAUUGACAACUAAAAUAUUUGUGUUAUUGUUGUGUGGCGGUUCAGAAACUAACCCCAAAAGGUUAUU